UUUUAGAGUGACGAGCAACCUUGA
rnacentral:piRNA from 1 species